GACGAACGCUGGCGGCGUGCUUAACACAUGCAAGUCGAACGGAAAGGCCCUGCUUUUGUAGGAUGCUCGAGUGGCGAACGGGUGAGUAACACGUGAGUAACCUGCCCUUGACUUUGGGAUAACUUCAGGAAACUGGGGCUAAUACCGGAUAGGAGCUCCUGCUGCAUGGUGGGGGUUGGAAAGUUUCGGCGGUUGGGGAUGGACUCGCGGCUUAUCAGCUUGUUGGUGGGGUAGUGGCUUACCAAGGCUUUGACGGGUAGCCGGCCUGAGAGGGUGACCGGCCACAUUGGGACUGAGAUACGGCCCAGACUCCUACGGGAGGCAGCAGUGGGGAAUAUUGCACAAUGGGCGGAAGCCUGAUGCAGCAACGCCGCGUGCGGGAUGACGGCCUUCGGGUUGUAAACCGCUUUCGCCUGUGACGAAGCGUGAGUGACGGUAAUGGGUAAAGAAGCACCGGCUAACUACGUG
rnacentral:rRNA from 1 species